rnacentral:misc_RNA from 1 species
ACCGUAGCGUCUGUAUCUAUUACGACAGGAUAUUCAUGCAUAGGUAUUCGAUCGCUUACAGUAUAGUUAGUGCAUCUACAACGUAAAUACAUACUUACUCUAUUCAGAAGUACGUAUUAAAGUCUGUGCAAUUAACAUUUACUCGAGAUAAACUUUCACAAAUUUUUACAUGACAUGAUAAUUAUUUCUAUAUUUAUUAGAUAACAAACAAAAGAACGAGAUGUUGAAAACUGUUAUCUACGUAAUUGACUCGUGGUUUGCAAAUAUAGUUCACGUUAUUUCUUGCAGAGGACGUUGUAGGUAGCCUUGACUAAAUGGAAACCAGCA